GGGUGGAAUUCCGCGUGUAGCAGUGAAAUGCGUAGAGAUGCGGAGGAACACCGAUGGCGAAGGCAGCCCCCUUGGGCCAACACUGACGCUCAGGCACGAAAGCGUGGGGGAGCAAACAGGAUUAGAUACCNUGGUAGUCCACGCCCUAAACGAUGUCGACUGGGUGUCGGGAGAGAGAUCUCUUGGUACCGUAGCUAACGCGUGAAGUCGACCGCCUGGGGAGUACGGCCGCAAGGUUAAAACUCAAAGGAAUUGACGGGGACCCGCACAGGCGGUGGAUGAUGUGGAUUAAUUCGAUGCAACGCGAACAGCCUUACCUACCCUUGACAUGUCCGGAAACCCUGCCGAGAGGCGGGGGUGCCCGAAAGGGAAUCGGAACACAGGUGCUGCAUGGCUGUCGUCAGCUCGUGUCGUGAGAUGUUGGGUUAAGUCCCGCAACGAGCGCAACCCUUGUCCCUAGUUGCUACGCAAGGGCACUCUAGGGAGACUGCCGGUGACAAACCGGAGGAAGGUGGGGAUGACGUCAAGUCCUCAUGGCCCUUAUGGGUAGGGCUUCACACGUCAUACAAUGGACGGUACAGAGGGUUGCCAACCCGCGAGGGGGAGCCAAUCCCAGAAAGCCGUUCGUAGUCCGGAUCGCAGUCUGCAACUCGACUGCGUGAAGUCGGAAUCGCUAGUAAUCGCGGAUCAGCAUGCUGCGGUGAAUACGUUCCCGGGUCUUGUACACACCGCCCGUCACACCAUGGGAGUGGGUUCCACCAGAAGCAGGUAGGCUAACCGCAAGGAGGCCGCUUACCACGGUAGGAUUCAUGACUGGGGUGAAGUC
rnacentral:rRNA from 1 species